rnacentral:rRNA from 1 species
UACGUAGGGGGCAAGCGUUAUCCGGAUUUACUGGGUGUAAAGGGAGCGCAGACGGAACUGCAAGUCUGAUGUGAAAGCCCGGGGCUCAACCGCGGGACUGCAUCGGAUACUGUGGAUCUGGAGUGCCGGAGGGGCAAGCGGAAUUCCUAGUGUAGCGGUGAAAUGCGUAGAUAUUAGGAGGAACACCGGCGGCGAAGGCGGCUUACUGGACGAAGACUGACGUUGAGGCUCGAAAGCGUGGGGAGCAAACAGGAUUAGAUACCCCGGUAGUCCCU